rnacentral:rRNA from 1 species
GAUGAACGCUGGCGGCGUGCCUAAUACAUGCAAGUCGAGCGAACGGACGAGAAGCUUGCUUUUCUGAUGUUAGCGGCGGACGGGUGAGUAACACGUGGAUAACCUACCUAUAAGACUGGGAUAACUUCGGGAAACCGGAGCUAAUACCGGAUAAUAUUUUGAACCGCAUGGUUCAAAAGUGAAAGACGGUCUUGCUGUCACUUAUAGAUGGAUCCGCGCUGCAUUAGCUAGUUGGUAAGGUAACGGCUUACCAAGGCAACGAUGCAUAGCCGACCUGAGAGGGUGAUGGGCCACACGGGAACUGAGACACGGUCCAGACUCCUACGGGAGGCAGCAGUAGGGAAUCUUCCGCAAUGGGCGAAAGCCUGACGGAGCAACGCCGCGUGAGUGAUGAAGGUCUUCGGAUCGUAAAACUCUGUUAUUAGGGAAGAACAUAUGUGUAAGUAACUGUGCACAUCUUGACGGUACCUAAUCAGAAAGCCACGGCUAACUACGUG